GGUGAACGCUGGCGGCGUGCCUAAGACAUGCAAGUCGAGCGGGGCAGGUUUAUAGCUGGUCAGCGGCGGACGGGUGAGUAACGCGUGGGUGACCUACCCGGAAGAGGCGGACAACCUGGGGAAACCCAGGCUAAUCCGCCAUGUGGUCCUGUCCUGUGGGGCAGGAGUAAAGGGGCGACCCGCUUCCGGAUGGGCCCGCGUCCCAUCAGCUAGUUGGUGGGGUAAAGGCCAACCAAGGCGACGACGGGUAGCCGGUCUGAGAGCAUGGCGGGCCACCGGGGCACCGGGGCACGGGCACCACUCCUACGGGAGGCAGCAGUUAGGAACCUCCCGCAAUGGACGGAAGGCUGACGGAGCGACGCAGCUCGGAGGCGGAAGACCUUCGGGGUGUAAAAUACUGAACUCGGGACGAAAGGCCGGUGUAGGGGGAUGACGGUACCCAGGUAAUAGCGCCGGCCAACUCCGUG
rnacentral:rRNA from 1 species